rnacentral:rRNA from 1 species
CGGAGGGUGCAAGCGUUAUCCGGAUUCACGUGGGUUUAAAGGGUGCGUAGGUGGGUAAGUAAGUCAGUGGUGAAAUCUCCGGGCUUAACCCGGAAACUGCCAUUGAUACUAUUUGUCUUGAAUACUGUGGAGGUCAGCGGAAUAUGUCAUGUAGCGGUGAAAUGCUUAGAUAUGACAUAGAACACCAAUUGCGAAGGCAGCUGGCUACACAAAUAUUGACACUGAGGCACGAAAGCGUGGGGAUCAAACAGGAUUAGAUACCCUGGUAGUCCACGCCCUAAACUAUGGAUACUCGACAUUUGCGAUAAACUGCAAGUGUCUGAGCGAAAGCAUUAAGUAUCCCACCUGGGAAGUACGAUCGCAAGAUUG